rnacentral:rRNA from 1 species
UACAGAGGUCUCAACCGUUGUUCGGAUUCAUUGGGCGUAAAGGGUGCGUAGGCGGUCGUGCAAGUCGGAUGUGAAAUCUCAGGGCUCAACCCUGAAACUGCAUUCGAUACUGCGUGGCUAGAGUGCUGGAGAGGAGACUGGAAUUUACGGUGUAGCAGUGAAAUGCGUAGAUAUCGUAAGGAAGACCAGUGGCGAAGGCGGGUCUCUGGACAGUUCCUGACGCUGAGGCGCGAAAGCCAGGGGAGCAAACGGG